UCACAUGAAAUUUUGGAUCAAUUACAAUCCAGUUUCAGAUCUCAAACUGAAAUCAAAAAUAAAAUGUGAAAUAGAGAAUUUAAUAUUCGAAUAAUUAUGAACCGUCGAGAUCGCAAACUGAAAAUGAACGGUGAUAAUGGAUUUACAUUAUCAAAAAAAACUGAACACACCGAAAAUUUCGAUAUACCAGAUAUACCGAAAAAUUCACCCAUAAAUAAUAUUAAUAAACCUGUACAUAUAAAUGUGUGUGCAUCUUUAUCCCCAGAUGGGUCUAAUAUGCGGGUGCGCCCACAUGUUGAGCCUGUUCCACCGUAUCAAAAUGUCGCAAUUAAUUGGGAAAAGGAAAAGUAAGUACAGUAUAUAGCUAGUAACUGGCUAUAAUGUACACAUAUAGCUUUAGAAACUUAGGCAGCAA
rnacentral:lncRNA from 1 species